GCAGAACGCGAAGAACCUUACCCAGGUUUGACAUCCCACUAAGGAUCCCGAAAGGGAACUGUGUCUUCGGACCGUGGUGACAGGUGUUGCAUGGCCGUCGUCAGCUCGUGUCGUGAGAUGUCUGGUUAAGUCCAUCAACGAGCGCAACCCUUAUGAGUAGUUGUAUUUCUCUACUCAGACUGCCCUGGCAACAGGGAGGAAGGAGGGGAUGAUGUCAGGUCAGUAUUACCCUUACACCUGGGGCUACAAACACGCUACAAUGGCCGGUACAAAGGGCAGCCAACCCGCGAGGGGAGCAAAUCCCAUCAAAGCCGGUCUCAGUUCGGAUUGCAGGCUGAAACUCGCCUGCAUGAAGCUGGAAUCGCUAGUAAUGGUAGGUCAGCACACUACCGUGAAUACGUUCCCGGGUCUUGUACACACCG
rnacentral:rRNA from 1 species